rnacentral:rRNA from 1 species
UAGGGAAUUUUGCGCAAUGGGCGAAAGCCUGACGCAGCAACACCGCGUGCGGGAUGAAGGCCUUUGGGUUGUAAACCGCUGUCAGCAGGGAAUAAAUUGACUGUACCUGCAAAGGAAGCACCGGCUAACUACGUGCCAGCAGCCGCGGUAAGACGUAGGGUGCAAGCGUUGUCCGGAUUUAUUGGGCGUAAAGAGUUCGUAGGCGGUUGCCUAAGUCUGGUGUUAAAGACUGGAGCUCAACUCCGGCAUGGCAUUGGAAACUGGGUGGCUAGAGUGUGGUAGAGGUCACGGGAAUUCCUGGUGUAGCGGUGAAAUGCGUAGAUAUCAGGAGGAACACCGGUGGCGAAAGCGCGUGACUGGGCCAUAACUGACGCUGAGGAACGAAAGCCAGGGGAGCAAA